GAAGGAGCUAGAAAUUAAGCUUUGCCAAACUCCAGAUUGAUUCGAUCAUAUACCUCUUCGUUUACCAGCAAAAAGCUUAAUAAUAGCCUUCUUAUAAGCAAAUAUUGCAUUUUAGAGGUGAUAUUAUGGCA
rnacentral:sRNA from 1 species